CUCCUGGAAAACGGGUGGUAAUGCCGGAUGCUCCAGUUGAUCGCAUGGUCUUCUGGGAAAGCUUUCGCGGUAUGGGAUGGGGUCGCGUCCUAUCAGCUUGACGGCGGGGUAACGGCCCACCGUGGCUUCGACGGGUAGCCGGCCUGAGAGGGCGACCGGCCACAUUGGGACUGAGAUACGGCCCAGACUCCUACGGGAGGCAGCAGUGGGGAAUAUUGCACAAUGGGCGCAAGCCUGAUGCAGCGACGCCGCGUGAGGGAUGGAGGCCUUCGGGUUGUAAACCUCUUUUAUCGGGGAGCAAGCGAGAGUGAGUUUACCCGUUGAAUAAGCACCGGCUAACUACGUGCCAGCAGCCGCGGUAAUACGUAGGGUGCAAGCGUUAUCCGGAAUUAUUGGGCGUAAAGGGCUCGUAGGCGGUUCGUCGCGUCCGGUGUGAAAGUCCAUCGCUUAACGGUGGAUCCGCGCCGGGUACGGGCGGGCUUGAGUGCGGUAGGGGAGACUGGAAUUCCCGGUGUAACGGUGGAAUGUGUAGAUAU
rnacentral:rRNA from 1 species